UGCAGUCUAGGAUGAAAGGUGAAAUAAAGAAUUUACAGUCUCUAUUUUGAUUUUUUUGAUUUUAUUUAUAGAGGGAAAAUACUUUUUAAAAGAAAAAAAACAAAAAAACCCUUAAAAUUUUUACUUARUUUUKUUAUUAAAAAUAUUUUUUUGUUGGGGCGACRCUGAAACAUAUUGAACUUUYAWGAUUUACAUGGCAAAUUUUUUUAAAASAUCAAAUUACCUAAGGGAUAACRGCAUAAUAGAAUUAUUUAGUUUAUGACCUCRAUGUUGGACUAGGAACUAAAAGACUAACAGUCAAAAUAGAAUGUUCUGCUCCAACAAUUUUUCCCUACAUGAGCUG
rnacentral:rRNA from 1 species